AUGAGUUAAGUAUAAACCCCUUUACAAGUAUCAAUUGGAGGGCAAGUCUGGUGCCAGCAGCCGCGGUAAUUCCAGCUCCAAUAGCGUAUAUUAAAGUUGUUGCAGUUAAAAAGCUCGUAGUUGGAUUUCUGUUAAUAAUUUAUAUAUAAUAUUUUACGAUAUUUGUAUAAUAUUAACAUAAUUCAUAUUACUAUAUUAUUAGUAUAUGAAAUUUUACUUUGAGAAAAUUAGAGUGCUUAAAGCAGGCAUUAGCCUUGAAUACUCCAGCAUGGAAUAAUAUAAAAGAUUUUUAUCUUUUUUAUUGGUUCUAAGAUAAAAAUAAUGAUUAAUAGGGACAGUUGGGGGCAUUUGUAUUUAACAGUCAGAGGUGAAAUUCUUAGAUUUGUUAAAGACAAACUAGUGCGAAAGCAUUUGCCAAGGAUGUUUUCAUUAAUCAAGAACGAAAGUUAGGGGAUCGAAGACGAUCAGAUACCGUCGUAGU
rnacentral:rRNA from 1 species